CAAAGCUUGUUGGAUUAACUAAGUUUAAAGCAGCACUGUGUAACUUUAGGCGCUCUAGCGGUUAAUAAACAGAACUGCACACAUCCCGCGGAAGAACAUUCUAACCGGAGCUACU